CCUACGGGAGGCUGCAGUGAGGAAUAUUGGUCAAUGGACGAGAGUCUGAACCAGCCAAGUAGCGUGAAGGAUGACUGCUCUAUGGGUUGGAAACCUCUUUUAUAAAGGAAUAAAACGAGGCAUGUGAGCCUUUAUGCAUGUAUUUUAUGAAUAAGGAUCGGCUAACUCCGUGCCAGCAGCCGCGGUAAUACGGAGGAUCCGAGCGUUAUCAGGAUUUAUUGGGUUUAAAGGGAGCGUAGAGGGGUUGUUAAGUCAGUUGUGAAAGUUUGCGGCUCAACCGUAAAAUUGCAAUUGAUACUGGCAGUCUUGAGUACAGUUGAGGUAGGCGGAAUUCGUGGUGUAGCGGUGAAAUGCUUAGAUAUCACGAAGAACCCCGGUGGCGAAGGCAGCUUACUAAACUGUGACUGACAUUGAUGCUCGAAAGUGUGGGUAUCAAACAGGAUUAGAUACCCUAGUAGUC
rnacentral:rRNA from 1 species